AUCAGAAGUGCGAAUGCUGACAUAAGUAACGAUAAAGCGGGUGAAAAGCCCGCUCGCCGGAAGACCAAGGGUUCCUGUCCAACGUUAAUCGGGGCAGGGUGAGUCGACCCCUAAGGCGAGGCCGAAAGGCGUAGUCGAUGGGAAACAGGUUAAUAUUCCUGUACUUGGUGUUACUGCGAAGGGGGGACGGAGAAGGCUAUGUUAGCCGGGCGACGGUUGUCCCGGUUUAAGCAUGUAGGCGGAGGUUCCAGGUAAAUCCGGUACCUUUUAACGCUGAGGUGUGAUGACGAGGCACUACGGUGCUGAAGUAACAAAUGCCCUGCUUCCAGGAAAAGCCUCUAAGCAUCAGGUAACAUUAAAUCGUACCCCAAACCGACACAGGUGGUCAGGUAGAGAAUACCAAGGCGCUUGAGAGAACUCGGGUGAAGGAACUAGGCAAAAUGGUGCCGUAACUUCGGGAGAAGGCACGCUGGUGUGUAGGUGAAGUCCCUGCGGAUGGAGCUGAGACCAGUCGAAGAUACCAGCUGGCUGCAACUGUUUAUUAAAAACACAGCACUGUGCAAACACGAAAGUGGACGUAUACGGUGUGACGCCUGCCCGGUGCCGGAAGGUUAAUUGAUGGGGUUAUCCGUAAGGAGAAGCUCUUGAUCGAAGCCCCGGUAAACGGCGGCCGUAACUAUAACGGUCCUAAGGUAGCGAAAUUCCUUGUCGGGUAAGUUCCGACCUGCACGAAUGGCGUAAUGAUGGCCAGGCUGUCUCCACCCGAGACUCAGUGAAAUUGAACUCGCUGUGAAGAUGCAGUGUACCCGCGGCAAGACGGAAAGACCCCGUGAACCUUUACUAUAGCUUGACACUGAACAUUGAGCCUUGAUGUGUAGGAUAGGUGGGAGGCUUUGAAGCGUGGACGCCAGUCUGCGUGGAGCCAACCUUGAAAUACCACCCUUUAAUGUUUGAUGUUCUAACGUAGGCCCCUGACCGGGGUUGCGGACAGUGUCUGGUGGGUAGUUUGACUGGGGCGGUCUCCUCCCAAAGAGUAACGGAGGAGCACGAAGGUUAGCUAAUCCUGGUCGGACAUCAGGAGGUUAGUGCAAUGGCAUAAGCUAGCUUGACUGCGAGCGUGACGGCGCGAGCAGGUGCGAAAGCAGGUCAUAGUGAUCCGGUGGUUCUGAAUGGAAGGGCCAUCGCUCAACGGAUAAAAGGUACUCCGGGGAUAACAGGCUGAUACCGCCCAAGAGUUCAUAUCGACGGCGGUGUUUGGCACCUCGAUGUCGGCUCAUCACAUCCUGGGGCUGAAGUAGGUCCCAAGGGUAUGGCUGUUCGCCAUUUAAAGUGGUACGCGAGCUGGGUUUAGAACGUCGUGAGACAGUUCGGUCCCUAUCUGCCGUGGGCGCUGGAGAAUUGAGGGGGGCUGCUCCUAGUACGAGAGGACCGGAGUGGACGCAUCACUGGUGUUCGGGUUGUCAUGCCAAUGGCACUGCCCGGUAGCUAAAUGCGGAAGAGAUAAGUGCUGAAAGCAUCUAAGCACGAAACUUGCCCCGAGAUGAGUUCUCCCUGAGACUUUAAGUCUCCU
rnacentral:rRNA from 1 species